UUCUGGUAAAAAAACAGACACAUACACCAAUGGAACAGAAUAGGGAAGCCAGCAAUAAAGUCACACAGCUGCAGCCAUCUGAUCUUCAACAAAUUGGACAAAAAUCAGCAAUGGGGAAAUGACUCCCCACCCAAUAAGUGGUGCUAGGAAAGCUGGCUAGCCAUAGGCAGAAGAAUGAAACCGGACCCCUAGCUUUCACUAUAUAUAAAAAUUAACUUGGCU
rnacentral:lncRNA from 1 species